UAUAUAUAUUGAAAUCAACCACAGUGAGUACCUCUGCAAAAUUGUGUUUACUUCAGUCAUUACAACGAAAACGGAUAGCAAAAGACACAGAAAGAUCUCGUUAACCGAAACUAACCAGAAAACUUGAUUGCUCAUUAUUGCGUCGCUAGACACACCUUGUUUUCCACCUAUUAUCUUUACACAAAAGGACCGCACACAAUUGAGAAAAUUGUUCGGCAUUGUUCGGUAUAACUACAGUACUUUGUGAAAAAAAAUUAAUUUCGAAUUUUCUUCAACUGGUUGUUAGCAAUCUAACCCUAUAUGGAUUAUCAAGCCACUAAACACACUCAACAAUGAUUUUCAAUGAUGCACCAUUAACAAAAAAGGGCGCACGUAAUUGAUCAAAAUUGUUGGUUGGCGUAUCGCAGGUGUCACAAAAAAUGCAAUGGUUAUCGGUUCCAGAUUUUCCACAGCUAAUUAUCAGUAGAUAUCGAAAUCUAAGAGAUGAAUUUUGACAAUACGAUUACUGAAAUUGGUCUAGACUAACGCCCGUAUUCUAAAAGCCCACUCACACUCAAUGAGUGGAGGUUCAAUCAGAGCUUCUCUUUAGUGUUAAUGAUGUUUUUGAAUAGCUGGAGGGCUAGUUU